rnacentral:rRNA from 1 species
UACGUAGGGUGCGAGCGUUGUCCGGAAUUAUUGGGCGUAAAGGGCUCGUAGGCGGUUUGUCGCGUCGGGAGUGAAAUCCACUGGCUUAACUGGUGGCUUGCUUUCGAUACGGGCAAACUGGAGGUAUGCAGGGGAGAACGGAAUUCCUGGUGUAGCGGUGAAAUGCGCAGAUAUCAGGAGGAACACCGGUGGCGAAGGCGGUUCUCUGGGCAUGUCCUGACGCUGAGGAGCGAAAGUGUGGGGAGCGAACAGG